UACAGAGGUCCCAAGCGUUGUUCGGAUUCACUGGGCGUAAAGGGUGCGUAGGCGGUCGGGUAAGUCUGACGUGAAAUCUUCAAGCUCAACCUGGGAACUGCGUCCGAUACUGGAUGGCUUGAAUCCGGGAGAGGGAUGCAGAAUUCCAGGUGUAGCGGUGAAAUGCGUAGAUAUCUGGAGGAAUACCGGUGGCGAAGGCGGCAUCCUGGACCGGCAUUGACGCUGAGGAGCGAAAGCCAGGGGAGCAAACGGG
rnacentral:rRNA from 1 species